AGCAGCCGCGGUAAUUCCAGCUCCAAUAGCGUAUAUUAAAGUUGUUGCAGUUAAAAAGCUCGUAGUUGAAUUUCGGGAUUGACACAUCGGUCGUGCCUUAAGGGGUAUGAACUGGUGUAGUCAAUUUCUCACCUUCUGGAGAACCGCGAUGCCCUUAAUUGGGUGUCGCGGGGAACCAGGACCUUUACUUUGAAAAAUUAGAGUGUUUAAAGCAGGCAUUUUGCUUGAAUACAUUAGCAUGGAAUAAUAAAAUAGGACGGCAUGAUUCUAUUUUGUUGGUUUCUAGGAUCACCGUAAUGAUUAAUAGGGAUAGUUGGGGGCAUUAGUAUUCAAUUGUCAGAGGUGAAAUUCUUGGAUUUAUUGAAGACUAACUACUGCGAAAGCAUUUGCCAAGGAUGUUUUCAUUAAUCAAGAACGAAAGUUAGGAGAUCGAAGACGAUCAGAUACCGUCGUAGUCUUAACCAUAAACUAUGCCGACUA
rnacentral:rRNA from 1 species